UGCCCUCGGCAGGUUGGAGGGGCUGAGGGAAAAGCAGGAUCAGCAGCACAUCCUGGGGGUUUUCUGGUGGGAAAACAUCCCUGGAAGCUGGAGAGGAGAGGGGGAAGGCAGAAGCCCCCUGGAAGCUGGAAGGAAGGGAAGGGGGAAAGGGAAAUGGAGAGAAAAGGCACAGAAGGAUGGGGGUAAGGCACCAGCACCUCCACAAAAGCGGCCGAUGGAGCAGAACUCCCCUUGUUGGGAUAAAAGAUUUCCAAAAUAAAAAGGUGUUUUCUUGCUCUUCCCAGUUUCCCUUCCAAAAAUGAUGAAUUUCGACCUAACCCCAAAGCCAAACUCCUUCCCCACAAAGCACAUAUGGCAAACAGGGCCAUUUUUAGGAUAAUUCUUAUUUAACCUGCUCAUCUUAUUUUUUUUUUUUUUUUAAUAAGUCAAAGAAUAAUACGAAAAUAUGGUUUAGGUAAAUGGAUAAAAAAAAAGCCUUUUUUUUUGGAAAGGGUUGUAUAUUCUGUAUAAUUUUCUGUGCUGGCAGUUUUUCCUGUCUUCCAGGAUAAACUCAGGACUCAGGGAGCUCCUGCCUGUUUCCACCCCCUGGCUGUCUCCAGCCCCAGUGAAUGAACACUGAUUUAUCCCGGCAGCAGACCCGGAUUGCAGCCUGGGAAUGGGGGAUGGAGCAGCUCUGGCCCCACAAAGUGCAUGGAUGCAAAGGAAUGAAAAUCACCAGGGAAAAAUCCUGGGGAUCUUUAUGUCCACCACAGCUGGAAAACACAAGGAAACACUGGAAGAGACGCCCUUCUUUCCAUGCCUGUUCCCUAAAAGAGCUUUGUGCUGGAUUUCUGAUGGCUCCCAGUGCAGACCCCCUCUGCUGGCCCCUUCUUAUGAGGAUUAAGCUCUAAAAAGCCGAAAUUCUAUUAAAAUUUGUAUUAAUGAAAUAUAUCCCCUGUGCCAUAUGGUGUUCACUUUUCCAGGCUGGAAAAGAUCCUUAAUCCCACUGGGACUGCUGGGGAAAUGGAGGCAGGAAUGGGACAAGCUCUCUGUGGAUGCUCCUCGUGCCUGGUGGCACUGAGACGUUGCUGGAUAUGAUGGAUGUGUUCCCAAGGAUGCUGGAUUUAAGCUGAACAAGGUUUUGCAGGAGCAAUUGGAAUUCCACAGCCUCAAUCAGGAUUUUUUCCAACCUGCCCAGAGCCACCAAGGGUUCCUGUUGAUGUUCCUGUUCCCUGGGGAUGUGGAUAAUGGGGAGAUGCCAGCCGUGUUUAUCCUCCCAUCUCAACAAUAUUCUGCUUAUCCUGGUUCCUCACAGUCUGAUCCCACAGGGAAUAAAGAGGGAAAGGCUCAGGGCUUGGGGAACUUU
rnacentral:lncRNA from 1 species